UUGAUCGGUAGCAUGGAUCCCUAUGACAGACCGUCUGGAGAGUGGACGUGAGACCCUGAAAGUGAUACAAAGACACUCCGUUGUUGAUUUUUUUUACCUGACGAUCGUAGGCACGGACGUUACAUCCAACAACACAACAGAGGAAAAGGCCUUACCUUUGGAAGAUGUGACCUCUACUGUUGUAAACAUCAACAUCAUUGCCAAAGAAGGAAGUAUCGUUUCAGCACCCUGUAUCAACGGAAAUACUAUUGGAGGUGGUGUUUCUAAUUCGAUUGAUGGUGGAACUUGAGAGGGGUGUCCUCAUGAGCAAAUACAUUCUGUUCAGGCUCUCCAAGGAGCCAAAGAAAAGAAUUUUGGAGCUCAUGAAUGCUCUUUUCACCCGGAGAGAGAUGGCCAUGUCCUCUCUUACCGGGAGGACGACCAAUGCCUUCAGGGACCAUGAGGCAAAACCCCAACUUUGCCCAAAGAAGGUGUCGGCAAUCUGUUCCUACAUAAUAAAAGACACGCCGAUGGAAAUUAAAGACAUCAUGUCCAUCAUGAGAUCAAAACUCAACAACGAAUCCAAGCUGUUCAAAAAACUUUAAUAUAACAAUAAAUGUCCUCUGCAUUUCAAACUAACCAUUGCUUUUCUUGUACUUUUCUAAUUGAUGUAAAAUAGUAAAUAUCAUUGUUCAUGGUAAGAUAGAAAACUGUUUUGACACCUUGGUCCUCUAAGUAUUUUCACUGUUUUAAAUGAGUCUACUGUACAUAACUAUAGAAAACUUUAGACAACUUUAGAAUAGGAUUGCACCAAAAUACUAUAGGAUUAAAUCCUAUAAAAAGAUUACUACAGAACUACAGAAUACUAUAGGAGUCCUAUAAGAAUACUAUAAUAUUUAUCUAUAAUAUUUCUGUAGUUGGCCUAUAGUAAAAUGUCCCAAAUUACUAUAAUAUUCCUAUAGGACAACUGUAGGAUUUCUAUAAGAUUACUACAUAAAAGUAUCAUAGGAAUCCUAUAAUAAUGUUAUAGUAUUACUACUGUAUAGGAUUUUUCCGUAAGGGAGGUAGCUAGUCGGUUACUUGUAGGCCUACUGUACAUCAAAACACAUUAGUCUUGUUUUGCAAUGUGUGGACUAUGUUUAUUAAGUGUCUGUUUUGCUGUAUAUUUUAAGGAAAUACUACCAGGCCUCAAUCUCCUUCAGGCAACCAUCUGGUCACUCAAAAUGACCAGGCCAACUGGAAACGGUGGAGGUCCUGUUGCCUGGCAAGAUGUUGACAUAAAGUUGAAUUGGCCUGGAGACUACCUGACAACUGUGAAAGCGCUGCUGGCUGAUGAGAUGUGGUCAUAGACUCUUUUCAGUGAAAUACUACCAGGCCUCAAUCUCCUUCAGGCAACCAUCUGGUCACUCAAAAUGACCAGGCCAACUGGAAACGGUGGAGGUCCUGUUGCCUGGCAAGAUGUUGACAUAAAGUUGAAUUGGCCUGGAGACUACCUGACAACUGUGAAAGCGCUGCUGGCUGAUGAGUGGUCAUAGACUCUUUUCAGUUACCAUAUCCAGACCAGACCAUUGGACAGACCAUCAUCAGGGGCACACUUUCAGUGAACCCCUCAGUUUGCGCCCCGAAAAGUUCAAAGCCCGACGUCAUCGAGGACAUCUCAUGUGGAGGGUGGAGGGAAGUGGAAGGCCCGAUACGCGAGGAAACACGAGAGUAUCCUACACGAUCAUUGCUGCAAGCUGCAAGCUGCCAAGGAGAAGAGCUGGUUUUCGGGAACUGUUCAGCCUUUUUAAUGUUAACAUUCAAUAAAAUGAAACGAAAAUGCC